rnacentral:rRNA from 1 species
UACAGGGGGUGCAAACGUUGCUCGGAAUCAUUGGGCGUAAAGCGCACGUAGGCGGUUCGUUAUGUCGGAUGUGAAAGCCCUUGGCUUAACCGAGGAAGUGCAUCCGAAACUGGCGAGCUAGAGUACUAAAGAGGAUCGCGGAAUUCCCGGUGUAGAGGUGAAAUUCGUAGAUAUCGGGAGGAACACCGGUGGCGAAGGCGGCGAUCUGGGUAGAUACUGACGCUGAGGUGCGAAAGCGUGGGGAGCAAACAG